AGUGAACGCUGGCGGUAGGCCUAACACAUGCAAGUCGAACGGCAGCACAGUAAGAGCUUGCUCUUACGGGUGGCGAGUGGCGGACGAGUGAGGAAUACAUCGGAAUCUACUUUUUCGUGGGGGAUAACGUAGGGAAACUUACGCUAAUACCGCAUACGACCUACGGGUGAAAGCAGGGGAUCUUCGGACCUUGCGCGAUUGAAUGAGCCGAUGUCGGAUUAGCUAGUUGGCGGGGUAAAGGCCCACCAAGGCGACGAUCCGUAGCUGGUCUGAGAGGCUGAUCAGCCACACUGGAACGGAGACACGGUCCAGACUCCUACGGGAGGCAGCAGUGGGGAAUAUUGGACAAUGGGCGCAAGCCUGAUCCAGCCAUACCGCGUGGGUGAAGAAGGCCUUCGGGUUGUAAAGCCCUUUUGUUGGGAAAGAAAAGCAGCAGGUUAAUACCCCGCUGUUCUGACGGUACCCAAAGAAUAAGCACCGGCUAACUUCGUG
rnacentral:rRNA from 1 species